UCUCAGCCGCGGUGCUGCUGCUCCCUCCGGGCCCCGCGGCGCUCCGGGGGAACGGCAAUAAGUUAUUAUCAGUUUAGGAACUGCCGGUUGAUUUCCAGCGCUCAAGGAGGAUUUCUGGGUGGGUAAAAGCACGCGUGAGCUGAGCUGUGCCGGGGCGCGGAGGGAAGGAAAGGCUGGGAGUGCCAGCGGCUGCACAGCGACCCACGGAGAGAGGCCUGGGAAGCUUAACGCCCACCUCCAGGGCAGGAGAAGGGUGGCCACGCUUCCCCACAGGCUUCCACCUACUGACCUUCCAGGGCGGUGCUGCGGCACCUUCGGCUCCUCACGCUGGAAGAUGCGCUGGCAGCGCCUUUUCUAUGGGAUGGUGCAAAAAAAGUUUGUCCUUCCUCUGGAUGUAAGGAAGAUUUCACUCCUGCCGCCACGCUCACUCGGGACAUGACCAAACAAGCGGGCUGCUGUCCUUUCUGGAGGGACGCGUUUUGCUCGGGAGGAGCCGCUGGGCCGCCUGCCCAGCCCGGGCUGGCUCCCCAUCCUCGCCCGGCCGUCCUCUCCAUCCUCCACCCACCCUCCUGCAGGGCAAGGAAGCAGCAGCUCUUCUCCCUCUUGUCCCUGUCGGACACCGUGCUGUGUCUGCCCACCUCAUCCCUCAGAUUCCCGGAUUUUUGGGAAGUUGUUCUUCGGACUAAUGGGGCUGAUCCCGAGCUCAGGCCAUGAUUAGGAGCAGUUCUGUCGGGCACUGCCUCUAAAAGUACAAAGCUUCCCAAAUCACCUUGCCUGCCUCUGAAAGAGCAAGACGCAGGUUACGAGGAAAAAAAAAUUCAAUCAAUUAAACAAAAUAUUG